rnacentral:lncRNA from 1 species
GGGGAAAGGGAAGGUGCUUGCGCAACAGGCACCUGCGCCGGUGGUUCGCAAGCGCAAGUCCGGCAGAGACCCGCAGAAAAGCCCGCCCCCAGCGGCCACCAGAGAGGAGCUGGAAUCCCGGGAGUCCCGGGAAGGCCCCUUGAAGGUCCUUGCACUCCCAGCGCCAGGGGCCCCGCGUACUCACGCUGUCUCCGGCGACAAGAUGAUGAGAUGCGCUCGCGCCCGCACCCUGCAUGCAAAUGCUGUCUCCAACGACAAGAUGGUGAGCCGCGCUCGCACCCCCACCCUUCAUGCAAACCCUGUCUCCGAUGACAAGAUGGUGAGCCGCACUCGCUUCCCCCUCUCCUACUAGUGAUUUGAAGUUAACCGGUGCCUAAUGAUUUGAAGUUACUGACAAUCUUUGAUCUAGUCAUGUGAGUUAGUACUAGUGCUUACUGAAUUACCUGAUGUGUAUGUGCAAGAACUACGUGGUGUGUAUAUGCCCUUGGACUUUCUAAUCGCUGGGUUCUCUUGUGGUAGAUGGACGGGAAAAAUGAGAUGGCGCCGGUCCAGGGGGUGCCGCCCAUGCGGGGAAGCAUCGCGGCUUCAAGCUCGGUUGGUAAGUACUCCAUACUGGUUUUUCUGUCAGUAUCACGGCUGUUUUUUGUCAUCAUUAGUAUAAUGAUAUUGGACUGAAGCUCAUCAACUCUUUCGAUGCUGUAUUUUUGGCAUCAUUAGUAUAAUGAUAUUGGACUAAAGUUGGUUAGCUCUUUCCAUGCUGGACUUUUGGCAUCAUUAGUAUAUUGAUAUUGGACUGAUGCUUGUUAGCUCUGUCCAUGCUCGGUUUUUUAUCAUCAUUAGUAUAGUGAUAUAUUGGACUGAAGCUGCACAUGUUUUGUUUCCAUUAACGUUGGUCUAGCAGUGCUACGCGUCAGUCGGCCGAUCGUAGCCGCCAUAGAAGCCUUAUUUUAAUCAAGUUCCACCCGUCACUGCAUAUAUUAACGUUGGUUUUGGCACUAGCUGCGUAUACAAACGCGAGCACCGGCACUGUGUGGCAGCAUGGAAGACAUAUGAACUGUGAUAAGAAACAUAAGAAACAUGCAAUGGCUAGAAACAUCUCCGUACAAAAAAAAUUGGCAUGUUAUUGGUGUCAACAAAAUUAGUCGGCUUGCCAGCCAUCGGAUCUGACACGUGAAGCAUUGGAUCACACCACGCGGCAGCAGAGAGAGUGGAACCCGUCUUCCUCCAUAGCCUCCACAAAACUUCUUUAUCCCCCACCCCUCCCCCAUCGUUGUAAAAGACUAUUAUGUUGUUGCCGCGGCCUUCCUCUUCCUCUCGCUCAGCAGCACCUCCCUCUCGUCCUUUCUAACACAGCAAAGAAGAAGGAGGAGGAAGAAGAAGGACGCAAGGACACAAGUGGUUUUGCCGGAGCACGAACUCCGCCCGCCGCACGAACGGCGUCCUUUUCUUUCCCUGAGCCCGAACUCAGUACAAUCCGCGAGCUACAACAAAGGAGAGAGCUGGCCUUAUACCCGCGCGCACGCACGCGCUACGCCACGCUCUGCACGCAUGCACACCCCACGUCCCGCGCUUCCAGACCCACUCACCCGACGCGCACGUAAACAGUCGCGGUAGGCCGAUUCCAGCGCCCCGACGUGGUCGCCACUCCGUUUCUGUCGCCUACACACAACGGCCCACGCGCUCGAACGCGAGGACACACACGCACGCACAGACACACACACACACGCACGGCCACGGACCCGGCGCGUCCUGGCUCGCACCCGACGCGUCCUGCGGUGGCUUAUGCCCAACACUCACUCCCCUAAGCCACGAACUACAGCAGGUGAGUCCAUCGUCGUCGAUGUCGCCAUGGCCGUCGCACCACACCGCUGCGGCCUCCGCCGUGCCGUCGACGUCGUUGUAGCCGCUGCCGCCCUAACGUCGCUGCCACGCCUGCCACCGUGCCGCUGUGCCCUUCGCGUGCACUCCCCACGUCCCCGCGCUCCCGGCCCGCACUCCCGCCGCGCACGUACGCGGUCUGCGCAACCAGGUCCAGCGCCUCGACGCGGUCCACUCCCGCGGUCCCGACGCGCCCGACGCGUCCGGUGCGCACCCAUAACACGCACCGGUCACGCCCGGCUCGCCGCCGCGCUUAUUGCCCUGCACCGCUGCGCCGUCAACCACAGCGCAGCGCCUCCACGGUCGUCGCGCCGAGCCGCCGCGGCCUCUGCGACACCACGCAGGUCCUCCGCGACCUCCUCGUCUCCGCGACCGCCGCUGCUCGCCGCGCGCACGGCAUCACGCCACACCGCCGUGGACUCGCCACGCGUUGCCGACGCCACGCGCUCGUCGCGCGCCCGGCAUCACGCCACACCGCCGUGGACUCGCCGCGCGUUGCCGAGACCUUCAUGUCCGCCGCGCACCGCACGCGCCGCGAACGCCACCGCGCGCCACGGCCGCCCCCCGAACCUGUGGCUCUGAAUACCAAUUGUUGUUGCCGCGGCCUUCCUCUUCCUCUCGCUCAGCAGCACCUCCCUCUCGUCCUUUCUAACACAGGAAAGAAGAAGAAGGAGGAAGAAGAAGGACGCAAGGACACAAGUGGUUUUGCCGGAGCACGAACUCCGCCCGCCGCACGAACGGCGUCGUUUUCUUUCCCUGAGCCCGAACUCAGUACAAUCCGCAAGCUACAACAGAGGAGAGAGCUGGCCUUAUACCCGCGCGCACGCACGCGCUACGCCACGCUCUGCACGCAUGCACACCCCACGUCCCGCGCUUCCAGACCCACUCACCCGACGCGCAUGUACGCAGUCGCCGUAGGCCGAUUCCAGCGCCCCGACGUGGUCGCCACUCCGUUUCUGUCGCCUACACACAACGGCCCACGCGCUCGAACGCGAGGACAGACACACACGCACAGACACACACACAUGCACGGCCACGGACCCGGCGCGUCCUGGCUCGCACCCGAUGCGUCCUGCGGUGGCUUAUGCCCAACAAUUACGUCAGCCCCUCGUAGCACCUCACGUCCAUGCUCUGGCGCAUCCCUGAUGUCGCCUGGUAUCAUGCAAGCACUAUUACAGACGGCGUGCUGGCGAGGAACAUUGUCUUACAACCAAGGUAGUUGCAUUGAUGCGACCACAAGCCUCACCCCCUUGUUGCAUGGGUCGUGGCUUGUGGCACUGGUCGUCGGCUAAAACACCCCCCGUGAGAACCUGCAGUUGCACCACUGCGACAACCUCGUGGGUCUAUGCAUGGUGGAAAUAGAGCGAAUGGAUAUGGUGAAGAGAGAGGAAUACAAGUGAGGGGCAUCUGGCGCUAGAGAGAGCUGACUCAUUUCCUCCUAAACCAGUCUGUUGAAUAUUUCCAUUUUCUUUUGAGAAACCUCAUAAAAACGUUGCAACAUGCGAGCAUGUCUAUACAAAAAAAACUAGAUAUAGAACACAUGCUCAUUAACUGCAAGAAAUCAGUGAAAAACCACAAUGUAUACACGCCUGAACCAAUGGAUCAUUGGCAUGCAUCUUCCAACUCUUCCUAGGUUACGCCCACCCGCGAACCGUUCAAUUCUGUCACAAAUCAUUGCCAAAUCAACCACCAACUUGGUUCCUGCUCUCGUCUCCUCUCCCCAUCCUUUGCAACAUACACCCAUGUUUCUCAGCAAUAGACUCACUUGGAGGCCACAAUGGUGGCCAUGGUAGGCUAGUGAAAAGCACAAUGGUGGUCGGCCUUACAACACUAAACACGACAUUAAUUGCAACACGUGAUAACCCCAAAUUUGUAGCACCGGUGCACCGUUUUGCGGCAAAGUAAAAAAUGCCAAUGACCUGCCAUGCUGCAUCGAUGCCUUGGUCUUGCAGCAUUGUCAACCACCUUGUAGCAAUGAAAAGUUCACUGACCACUAGCUUUGCAGCAUCACGUGACCGGCUUCUAGCACUGAAUGCCCGGGCUAGCAGCACUGCGAUGAGUGAUGGUCGGCCUUGCAACAGUAUUGGUUGACAUUGCACACCUCAUCUCCAUUUUUAUGUACAUACACAUGAGUGAACUUGGAACAUCAGUAACGUAUCAACAUUAGCAAUAUUGAUGAUGAUGAAAUUUGUUUCCCCAAGUAUCAACAUUACUGAAUAAGUGAGCAACUGCACAUCCACCCCAUGAGCCAUACUUUUUGAGCCCUACCACAACCGAUUAUAGUUGGAAAAGAGCUGACAACGAUAGUUAAAAAUGUACAUGAUCACAAUAGAUUAAAUGGCAGGGAGGGUGGACUGCAUGUGUGGAAUCAGGCUUGUCGCGUGGUCACAAGUGCCUUAUCUGACUAGCCAACAAGACAGAAGGAGGCCGCCUGGACUCUCACUCCUGAAGCUAAGCAUAACUCCAACUGCAGACACACUCGGGGGCUACUUAAGGUGCAAUACACUAGGGGUGUCCUCUAAGUGGGAAGCCCGGUAGCAGGCCUAUCUCAAGGCCCAAGAGGCCAAGUGGAGGAUCAGCGCACGAGGGCAGCUCAUGAGCCCGGAUAAGGAUCGGGAGAGCAUCUGGGCGUGCAAGCUAACAUGGCGACGGUAUGAGAUCUAGUGGAUUCCUUGUAAUCCCUAGCCCUCGUCACCUAUAUAAGGCAGGGCAAGGGGUUAUCAUUCACAUAUACUCUCAUAGACUAUACUCUUGGUGGCCUUAUACUUCAUCUCCGUUGUAAAUCCUAUUAUGGGUACUAACAGUUUUACAUACUGUCGCAUAGUUUUGUUCCGACACAUUUUCUCUAGGAGUUGAAAGCAACUCAUGGUGUAAGUAUAUGUUGCUGGAAGCACUGAUUUUACUAGCACCGCCUUUCCCGCCUUCGAGAUACCUUGUCCUUCCUAUCCAAUCACUUUGCCAUUUGAGUUUUCUCUAACGUAUUUAAAAUUUGCUUCCGUUGACCUACCCACCACGGCUGCGAGCCCCAAAUAAUGCUCGCUCAAUGCCUUGGGAUCAAUGCAAAAAUAUUUUAAAAAAACUUUGUCCUCCUAUUUGCUUCCCUUUCCACAAAAAGUUGAGGCUUUUUGAAGAUUUACCAUUUGUCAUGUGGCCAACUCGUAGUCAAACAGGGUCUAUUUUAAGGUCACAACGUUGAUAUUUGAUGCUUGAAGAAAUACUACACUAUCAUCUGCAAACAUAAAAUGGGCUACAUGGGGGCCAGUGCUCCCAAAAUGUACAUCAUUGAUCUCCUUAUCUUUGAGAAUUCAUGAGCAAUGCCAAAAAAUAAACAAAUGGGGGGGAUUGUGGGUCUCCUUGUCAGAUCCCUCUUGAUAGUGUAAAAAUGACAGAGCAACCUCCAUUCAAUUUGACAGGAAUCCUGGUCGAGGUAACAGAUGUCAUAGUCAUCAAGAUCCACCUAUUUGAGAAACCAAGUGCCCUCAUCAUGAGAUUGUGGAAAAUCCAAACCACCCUCUUGUAGGCCUGCAUCAUGUCUAGUUUAAUAGCUAACAUUGGAUUUUUCUAUUUGUUGACCUGAUUGCAUGCACACACUCAUACGUGAUCAACACAUUGUCUGUGAUAAGCCUACCCGGAAUAAAUAUACUUUGCUCCUCCCAGAUCAUUAUGGACAGGAGAACAUUCAAACCAUUCACUAGGCCUUUGAAGCAAUAUGACUGAGUGUGUUCUAUAAGCUGAUUGAUCCAAUUUGAGGAAGUAUAUCCAGUGAGUUAAUUUUUAGGAUCAGGACUAGAACCAUAUCACUGAAGUUUGCCGAUACAUCAUUUUUUAGCAACGACUAGUGAAAUUGGUAAACAUAGUCGAGAGGUUGUGUGGCCCAACGCUUUUGUCGGUCUAAUUUAGAAUGGUGCAUUCUCAAUUUAUUAUCAGGAUCUAGUCUCUUGAAACCUCCCUUAGCUACACAAAUUUGCUUCAAUCUCUCUUCCUAUCCAGUAGCUUUAGCUGAUAAUCCUUGUGAUGCCUUUGGUGAUCACCACCACCCUUCCUCGUCUUGUGAACAAAAGUGCCUCGUGUGUGCUGCCUGGAGGUAGAUGGGUCUUCUUUGCCCAGUCGCCUUGCACCCUUUCUUCCCACAUAGAAUUUUUUAUGUCCUCCUUCCUUUCAUGAUCCUUCCUCAGCUUCCACAUCCUUUUCAGUUGCAAAUCAUCCCUUAGUUCAUGUCACCGAUCUUGCUUGCAUUAGUCCUUCCUGGGUGUAUAAGCAUUGUAGCACUUGUGCCUAAAUGGGAGGUGGCGCAACGCUGCUUACCCCCUGUGAACAUAGAUGCACCUUCUUGACCUAGUGCUCCCAAAAUUAAAGUUCCCACUUUCUAUCACCAACUUCUACUAUGUUUCUGUGUGUGAGGAGCUAUGUUCGAGUGGUGCCCUCAACCAUUCACCCAACUAGGGUGAGGAAUCAACAUGUGGUUCAAAUCUUUCAUCAGCAUGUGCCGGUCUAACGCAGUCAAUCCAGAAGUGAUGUAUCUUCUCAAAUUGAAAAUCAAGACAGUCCCCUCAUAUUUCGCUGAAGAGUGGAGGAAGAAGCCUCGAACCAAUGAAACGAAUAUGAAAAUUCUAGCUCUAACUAUGAGAUGGUUCCCCCCAUAAAUCCAUCCUUCUCGAUAUCAAAUUUUACCACGUCACCAAGCCAAUUCCCGAGAGCAUUCCCAAAAGUAGACAAUGGUUUAUAUAGGGGAAGAUCCUUAAUUAUCACCCAUGGCUCCGUCAUCCAAAACAUUAUCUUCGACGGCCUAGUUUUACCAUCACAAUUCUUCAAAACCAUCACACUAAAACCAAAUUUCCACGGUCCAUUAUAUAGAGUGUGAUUCUAAACUCCGUUUUGUCGAAUCUCAAGACGAAGAUAUUAUUGCCAAUGGCUUCCUAGUAGAGUCCCCAUGCGUGUUGCAUAGCCUUAGCAAACACGUUGAUGUUGAUUUGCGGCAGUGAGCACGCCUUUCCAACAGCUGACAACUUAGUAGGCCUCGGUCGGUCUAGAAUCCACCUCAAACAUGAGACCUAUUAGUUCCUUUUGUGUCAAGUUCAAGGCUCCUUGUUUUUUGAGAGAUUCGCUACCUCCUGGAAGCAUUUUUGUCUGUCAGGGACUUUGAAGAUUCUUGGCUUAUCGAUCGUUGGUCACCCGCUUCACUGGAGUUGCCUGUCCAUGCCAUGCCUGCUCUUCCGUCAUCGACCAAUAGAUGAAUAAAACCCUAACCCUAGCACUACCUGUCGGUCCCCUAUAGUCUCCCUUAGCAUUUCCUUUCAUGGUGGGCCCGCCACCAACUAUUCCUCUCCGUCCUUCCAUUGGUACUUUUUCUGCGGUGGAGCCUUUAUGCUUCAUUUGGCUUUCUACAAUGGUGGUUGUAUCCAGCUCAUAAGUCUCCUCUAUAUGUAGGAAGCCAAGAUGUUAGCUCUUCUUUUUUUAAGGAAAAUACGUUAGCUAAUGUACAAGUUUCAUUUGAAAGAAGUCUUGUCGCAUGUAAAUACGUCACUGUCGGUUCAAUAUCCGGCGUAUCUCGUUGUAGGGGUCCUAAGCUAGGCGUCUUGGAGCGAUGGUAACAUCGACACGGGGUUUUACCCAGCUUCGGGCUCUCUUGAUGAGAUAAUACCCUAGAUGCUGCUUUUGAUUGUAUUCAUAUGGGGUGUAGUACAGAGUACAUGUGUCUACCACGAGACUGUGGUAAUGAAUAUGAGAUUGUCUAUUGACUAGCCUGGCCUCGGUUUAUAUAACACACCGGAGGCCUAGCGUUUUAGGAGAGUCCUCGCCUUGGGCGCCAAGUCUUGUGGAGUCUUCCUUAUAUGCGGCAGGGGUUGUCCGAACUGGCCCAUGAGUAUACGGUCGGCCCAAUCCAACUGAUCGGGAGACGACGUGGUGAGUACCCCCUAGUCCAGGACACCGUCAGUCACUAAGAGUGUGAUACAUAUAGGUGCAUACUUAGCGGAUGAUGCAAAUUUCAGCAGAUAUGAAUAGCUCCAGGUGGACCGAGCACACAAAGAAAUCAUGCACCAUAAACGAACAAUUUCCAAAGAAACAAAGUCGCAAAAAGAGAGACGACAUUAUCUUCAUUAUGGAAAACCCUUAUAUUUUUAAACAUUGCUUUUCUCUUUGAUUAUUAACAGGAAUCUUUUUACUAAUAUAAUAAGUGUUAAUCUUUAUAGAUAUGGAAUGUAUUUUGUUCAGUAGGUUUUAAUGAAUCAUAUCAGUUUUUGGUAUGUUACAAUUAGAAGAAGUUCAUGCGCCUUCAAGGCAUGUCACGGUGUGUUGUUCCACCUCAAACAGGGACAUACUACAUGGUUAUUCUCCCUGCAUAUAGCCCUCUUCGCAUGCUCUUCCUCUCUCUCUCUCUCUCUCUCUCUCUCUCCAUUGUAUAUUCCAGAACUGCUGACACUACUCCAUAAUGCCUAACUGGUGAAGGUCCAGAAACACCUAGCAGUGAUGGGUUCAACAUGCUCAGUAGUCUGUACUUAGUGGAGAAGUAACAAACCACUUAGAUGAACGUGUCCGCCGGUGAUGGUCAAAUCGAAAAAGAAAAUCGGGCCAUGGCCAGUCCAAAGCUAACACCUGCCAAUAAUGUGUAGUCUCCACUACUCGAACCUUCUUCUCCUCAAUAUAUUGCACCGUCUGAUGUUUGGAGAAGCCAUAGAGUUGGGGAUCCGAAUAGAGGAAACAAUGGUGGGGAGUGUCUUGAAGAAUAGGUAACGAGAAGCCGGACGGAGAAGGCCUCGACCAUGCUGCACCAUCAGCCCAUGAGCACUGACCUGUAUAUAUGGUGCAAGGACCGAGGCAGAAAUGAACACCAUCAUCGCCUGGGUGGCAGAGGGAGUUGGACCUGGGUGUUCCUCCUCUCGGACAAACUCAAUGAAUUCUUGGAGGCAGCACCCAUGCUAGAUUCUGCAGAGAUGACAACAUUUAGAGGAGGUGGAGGGCCAGCGCUAGGUUUGUUCCUCAUAGGGUUUAUUUUCGGGGAAGAAGGGGAAGGGUAUGACAUGAUGAGUGAUUAACAAGGGAAGUGUGUGUUUCUGUGGAGGACAAAUCAUGAAGACAAGUGUGCUAGUAGCUAGAGAAGGGACUAAUGAUAGCAGGAACGAAUAAUGAGCUUAAUGUGUGGGGCUACUAGUUUUAAGUUGUGAUCUAAAUGACAGGGUAAGUAUUUAGUCACUAUCGUGUUGUGACUUGGUCUUGUAAGUGGUGGGUUGUAUAUGAGUAACAAGUAGCAUGUUUAGCCUCAAUCUUGUUCUCUGUCACUGGUAACAAUGUAUCAUUGAUGGACCACAUAUUGGGCCCGUCACUACUAACUUUUUUCAACAAAAAUAGAUUUUUAGUUAUCGUCAAAUUCAUGGCAAACCCGCCGUCCAUUACUUCUAAGUAGCACUACUGAUGGGUUGUGUGACCCACCACUAUUGAUCAAUAACUAGAGGAUAACUCAAGCAUAGUGCACAUCCGUUUCUUUGAGAUUUUGUUAGUGUUUUCUUGUUCAUGGAGACAUAUCAAUUGACCCUAACAAGUGUUCUAUUUAGGUGGGGUUGUGAGUGAAAAUGCGGGGAGCUUGGCAGCAGGGAAAAUGGCACCUAGAGGGGCUCAUGUCUCCAUGAUGAACAACCACAACUUUGAUUUGAAUGAGCUACCGACUGAACAUGAGCAGCUCCGGCAGGAGCAGCCGCCCAAAGAGCAGGAUUAGCCGCCUGUGGCACAACAUGAGCUUUAAUAUUCACAAAUGGCUGGAGCCUGCUCAAAUCCGCAUCUAUGAGCAAAAUAACUCUUCGCCAGAAGCAUAGCCCUGUUGGAAAUAAUCAAAAAUAUCUCUAUCCCGAGGAUAAUGGGAAGGCUUGUAUGGAACUUUUGAAUUUCUCUCUUCCUACUUUUUGCGAUUGACUAUCAUUACUGCUAAACAUGAGGGGGGAUUUGGUAUACUGCCUCAUGAUCACCCUAUCCACUUGAAAUGGAUUUUCUAUUCAUUUCCCAUGAUGGUUUUGAUAUCUCGAUUGUUUCAACAAGAAUAUAU